UACGUAGGGUCCGAGCGUUGUCCGGAGUUACUGGGCGUAAAGCGUGCGCAGGCGGUUUUGUAAGUUUGUCGUGAAAUCCCCGGGCUCAACCUGGGAAUUGCGAUGGAGACUGCAAGGCUUGAAUCUGGCAGAGGGGGGUAGAAUUCCACGUGUAGCAGUGAAAUGCGUAGAGAUGUGGAGGAACACCGAUGGCGAAGGCAGCCCCCUGGGUCAAGAUUGACGCUCAUGCACGAAAGCGUGGGGAGCAAACAGG
rnacentral:rRNA from 1 species